rnacentral:rRNA from 1 species
AUUGAACGCUGGCGGAAUGCUUUACACAUGCAAGUCGAACGGCAGCACGGGGGCAACCCUGGUGGCGAGUGGCGAACGGGUGAGUAAUACAUCGGAACGUGCUCAGUCGUGGGGGAUAACGUAGCGAAAGCUACGCUAAUACCGCAUACGAACUACGGGUGAAAGCGGGGGAUCGCAAGACCUCGCGCUAUCCGAGCGGCCGAUGGCAGAUUAGGUAGUUGGUGGGGUAAAGGCCUACCAAGCCGACGAUCUGUAGCUGGUCUGAGAGGACGACCAGCCACACUGGGACUGAGACACGGCCCAGACUCCUACGGGAGGCAGCAGUGGGGAAUUUUGGACAAUGGGCGCAAGCCUGAUCCAGCCAUUCCGCGUGCAGGAUGAAGGCCCUCGGGUUGUAAACUGCUUUUGUACGGAACGAAACGGUGCCAGCUAAUACCUGGCGCUAAUGACGGUACCGUAAGAAUAAGCACCGGCUAACUACGUGCCAGCCGCCGCCGUAA